UACGUAGGGGCCCAGCGUUGUCCGGAUUCAUUGGGCGUAAAGCGCGCGCAGGCGGCCCGGUGUGCCGCCCGUGAAAUCCCCCGGCUCAACCGGGGGGGGUCGGGCGGGACUGCCGGGCUGGAGGCGGGUAGGGGAGAGCGGAAUUCCCGGUGUAGUGGUGGAAUGCGUAGAGAUCGGGAGGAACACCAGUGGCGAAGGCGGCUCUCUGGACCCUUGCCUGACGCUGAGGCGCGAAAGCGUGGGGAGCGAUCCGGAUUAGAUACCCGGGUAGUCCACGCCCUAAACGGUGCGGACUAGGUGUCGGGGGUAUCGACCCCCCCGGUGCCGGAGCUAACGCAUUAAGUCCGCCGCCUGGGGACUACGGCCGCAAGGCUAAA
rnacentral:rRNA from 1 species